UCUUGGAAGGGGCACACUGACACGCGCGCACACACACGCCCCCGACGCGCACGCGCCCCCGCGCGUACUCACACUCACCCCCGCGCACACUCACGCCGCCGCCGCGCUGAUGUGCAGCGCACCGGGCUGCACCUGCAGCCAGUGGAUUGGACUGGAGGGUCGCAGCGCGUGGCUCCUGCCGCGAGCACUGCUGCCUAGCCUCCGCGCUAGAAGGGAUUAACCCCCUCAGAAAGAUCAAAGGCAGCCCUACCCCCUCCCCAAAAAUAUCCUUUUGUUUAAAAAAAAAAAAAAAAAAAGCCCUAUCCAAAAUACCAAGUGCCCGGUGCUACUGGGUCGGAAAGCUGUACCCAACACCAGAGCAGAAGAAAAUGCAUUUGGAAGCCAGCACCGCUGGAUGCCGGGUUCGGAGAGGCAGCCUGACCCGAGGAGCGCUUCUCCAUAGAGCCAAGCCCCGAGAUUUCCUAGAGUAUUUGUCUCCUCCCAAGUGGAUCUUCACUCUCAAAACGGUUGGCAUCAUCCCCCAAGGAGACACCAUCUCUUUUUCAAACCCUCCUUAGUAAGUCAACCCAUCUCAAGAGUAGCUUUCAUUGAUAAUGAUAUCUGCUCACUUCUGGAAAUCUUACCAUAAGACACCAUUCAGUCUCAAUGGACAGCCAGAACUCAUGUGAAGCUCUAUUACAGGAAAUAUAAACAAAGCAGCUUCCGGAUCUCCUGCUUGAGUCUCGGGGAAAGAGGGGCUAUGGGGAGACUGACAGGCCGUGAACAAGCCUGGCGUGUGAGGAGGACAUCACCUGGUGCUCUGGAAGAAUUCUGAGGUUUCCAUCUGAAAUGGUGGGAGACUAUAUGCCCAGUCCAUGCACGUUAACCCAGACCCAGUGCUGGGAGAGGUAAGUGACGGAAACUCCACACGAGUGGCUGAAACCUGAACACCUCCAGUGCUGUCCAGAUGAAUAAGUGAAGGACUUGUUAGAGGCCUGAAGAAGGAGGUCAGUAAAUAUUUAAAGAAGGCUUGCUUUCCUGUGAUGCUGUGGCUGCUGCAGUAUGGUGACCCUACUUGAACUUCUCCACAGGAUCCCGCAGGAUUUGGUUCUGAUUCUCCCAGGACGGGAUGGUCUUCCGAAUCUUAUUCCAAUGUGGUUCCCCUCGGUCUCACUUGCAUUUUUCAAUUUUGUUUCUAGACUGUUUUUGUUUUGUUUUAAUAUUAUCAAAAUUGUGCAAGUGAAGAGUUUAAAGGAAUGGAAACCGUUGGGCAUAAGUCCCCCUAACCUCCCCACCACCUCCAUUUUUACUUGAGAAAGGCUGCUUGCAACUCUAUCAGAAUUUCUGGUAGACUCCCCCACAGUGAAAAAUGACACACCCUGUUACCACCUAACUUCUUAGGUCAUUUCUUUAUCUGCUGACAUCUACAAAAAGAGGGGUCUGCUUCCUGUCUCAGACCAAGCCUCCAAUGUGUUUGAUAAGCACAUCUCCCCAUCUUGAUGCCCUCUAAUACACGAUAUCAUAAUCAUAACCAAUAUGCAUAGUUUCCAACUUUUUCACAAGCAUCCUUUAUCAUGUAUUUUAUUUGGUUAUCUUGUCCCCUUAGUCCAUUUUCAUCGAGAAUACUUCCUCUCUGGUUUACUCUUGGUGUGGCAUUAACUUUUGUUUUGCUUUGCUUUAUUGAGACAGUCUCAAUAUAUAAUUCAGACUGGCCUUGAAUCUGCAACCCUUCUGCCUGCAUCUCCAAAGUGCUGGGAUCACAGGCAUACGACAGAACACCUGGCGACAUUGGCAUUGGUUACCUUCCUUAUUGCUGUCAUCAACAUGACGAGAAGUAACUUAAGGAAGGAUUUGUUCUGGCGCACAGGUGGGUGGUGGUACUGUCGUCCAUCAUGGCGGGAGUCAUGGCGGCAAGAGCGUGAGGUGUCCACAAUCAGGAAGCAGAGACCCACGGACACAGAUGCUCAACUCCUUUCUCCUUUUAUUCAGUAUAGGACCCCCAGCCCAUAGAAUGGUGCCACCUGCAUUUAAGGUGGGUCUUCUCACCUCAAUUAGCCCAAUCUGGAAGCUCCCUCCCAGACAUACUGAGAGGUUUGUUUCCAUGGUGAUUUUAAAUGCCACCAAGUUGGCAAGAUUAAUCAUCACAGCCAACAUUAUGGGGUAUGGCAGACCUGCCUGAUUUCUUUUCCUCGUGAAUAGAUUAAGGAUAAUAUUUUCUGGCAAGGCGAUAUUGCCAACGUCCCUGGUGCAUCAUCUCAGGUGCCGCACAAAGCUAGUCCCAUGACGAAUGAGGCCAAUUUCAAUCAGUGAUUUGGAGGUGACUGCCAGGUGUCAGCACUGUAAAGACUCUUCUUCUUUUCACUAACAAGUCAUCUACCGGGUGACAAUUUGAGGCCACGUUCUAUGUUCCUGGUUGCCUGAUAACUUGAGCAAAGAGAUGACUGAGAUACGAAGCUUCAGACUGUAUGUCUGGUAUUAGAGCAGCGGUUGUGAGCAAUGCUGAAAGUUUUAUACACACAAGUGAAAAGAUCUACAAGCAAUGACAUUCCAGUGACAAUAGGCACAUCGACUGCCUAGAUCCUCGUUUCUAAGAACAGUUCUGGUGAAAACAGACAAAAAAACAAGGGAUGCUUGGGGGUGUGACAAAUUCCAGAGCACUAGUAAGCUAAAAACAGAUUGCCUUUUUUGACUCAGGGACAUUCUCUUAAACCAAGAACAAUGUGCCAAAGUGACAGAGGAACCCACAGAGACAGUUAGGGAGACAGGGGAGGGGAAACUGGUCAGUAUGUAAAAUAAAUGAAAAAAUGUUAAUUAAAUAAAAAUUUUAAUGUGCCAAAGGAGGGCGAAGACUGGGAUUAGUGGGUCUCAUAGGUCAGUUUGACACUAUUAUAGUAUUUACAAACAUGACCACUAAGAUUGAAAAUGAAUCUAUCAGUCCACAUGGAAACUUCCAAGGGUGAACAAAGGGGAGAAGACUUGUUCAACACAAAUGUUCCAUUUACUGUCUGAUGGAGGAAUGGAAGAAUUAGAAAAGGACCAUUUUACAACUCCUCAUGUAAUGGCUGACUGUCAUUAAGUACUAAUAAAUGGUGUUUGAUGAUGAA